GACGAACGCUGGCGGCGUGCUUAACACAUGCAAGUCGAACGCUGACGCUUGGUGCUUGCACUGGGUGGAUGAGUGGCGAACGGGUGAGUAAUACGUGAGUAACCUGCCCUUUACUCUGGGAUAAUCCUGGGAAACUGGGUCUAAUACUGGAUACGACAUGUCACCGCAUGGUGGUGUGUGGAAAGGGUUUUACUGGUUUUGGAUGGGCUCACGGCCUAUCAGCUUGUUGGUGGGGUAAUGGCUCACCAAGGCGACGACGGGUAGCCGGCCUGAGAGGGUGACCGGCCACACUGGGACUGAGACACGGCGCAGACUCCUACGGGAGGCAGCAGUGGGGAAUAUUGCACAAUGGGCGGAAGCCUGAUGCAGCGACGCCGCGUGAGGGAUGACGGCCUUCGGGUUGUAAACCUCUUUCAGCACGGAAGAAGCGAAAGUGACGGUACGUGCAGAAGAAGCGCCGGCUAACUACGUG
rnacentral:rRNA from 1 species